GCGGGGCUAGCUCAAUUGGAUAGAGCACCUGAUUACGGAUCAGGAGGUUGGGGGUUCGACUCCCUCGCCCCGUACCA
rnacentral:tRNA from 1 species